GUGGGGAAUAUUGGACAAUGGGGGCAACCCUGAUCCAGCCAUGCCGCGUGUGUGAAGAAGGCCUUCGGGUUGUAAAGCACUUUUGUUGGGGAAGAAACCGGCCGGGUUAAUACCCUGGUUGAAUGACGGUACCCAAAGAAUAAGCACCGGCUAACUUCGUGCCAGCAGCCGCGGUAAUACGAAGGGUGCAAGCGUUACUCGGAAUUACUGGGCGUAAAGCGUGCGUAGGCGGUUUGUUAAGUCUGCUGUGAAAGCCCUGGGCUCAACCUGGGAACUGCAGUGGAUACUGGCGAGCUAGAGUGUGUCAGAGGAUGGUGGAAUUCCCGGUGUAGCGGUGAAAUGCGUAGAGAUCGGGAGGAACACCAGUGGCGAAGGCGGCCAUCUGGGACAACACUGACGCUGAGGCACGAAAGCGUGGGGAGCAAACAGGAUUAGAUACCCCUGUAGUCC
rnacentral:rRNA from 1 species